UACGGAGGAUCCGAGCGUUAUCCGGAAUCAUUGGGUUUAAAGGGUCCGUAGGCGGGCCAUUAAGUCAGGGGUGAAAGUCUGCGGCUCAACCGUAGAAUUGCCUUUGAUACUGGUGGUCUUGAGUUAUGGUGAAGUAACUAGAAUAUGUGGUGUAGCGGUGAAAUGCAUAGAUAUCACAUAGAAUACCGAUUGCGAAGGCAGGUUACUAACCAUAUACUGACGCUGAUGGACGAAAGCGUGGGGAGCGAACGGG
rnacentral:rRNA from 1 species